AACAAACGCUGGCGGCGUGCCUAAUACAUGCAAGUCGAACGGGGAAAGUAGCAAUAUGAGUACUAGUGGCGCACGGGUGAGGAAUACAUGGAUAAUCUGCCUUAAAGUGGGGGAUAACCUUCCGAAAGGAAGGCUAAUACCGCAUAAGACCACAAGAUCUGCGGAUCAAGGGGUAAAAGGUUUUUCGCUUUAAGAUGAGUCCAUGUGGGAUUAGCUAGUUGGUGAGGCAAUGGCUCAACAAGGCAGUGAUCCCUAGCUGGUCUGAGAGGAUGAUCAGCCACACUGGAACUGAGACACGGUCCAGACUCCUACGGGAGGCAGCAGUAGGGAAUAUUGCGCAAUGGAGGAAACUCUGACGCAGCGACGCCGCGUGAGUGAUGAAGGCCUUCGGGUCGUAAAGCUCUGUCGCAGGGGAGUAACACUAUGAAUGUACCCUGAAAGAAAGGAUCGGCUAACUUCGUGCCAGCCGCCGCCGUAA
rnacentral:rRNA from 1 species